rnacentral:sRNA from 2 species
CGGACCGAAAUGCCGAAUCCUGCCCACGGUCCCGGUGUUCCCUCCGAGUCGUCACCAGGGCAGGAGCGGGGGACCCAAUCCUCCACCGGACGGCGCCGAGCCACGGUGUCGUCCUCGGGGUGAAGUGCGCAGCGCGAUGGUCGCGUGGCCCACCGGGCAGCCCAGCCCGAACCCGACAGCUCACCUCGCAGGCGAACGGGAAGGAUCA